AGAAUCAACGCUGGCGGCGUGCCUAACACAUGCAAGUCGAACGAGAAAGUGGAGCAAUCCAUGAGUAAAGUGGCGACCGGGUGAGUAACACGUGACUAACCUACCUUCGAGUGGGGGAUAACCUCGGGAAACCGAGGCUAAUACCGCAUAACAUCGCAAGAUCAAAGCAGCAAUGCGCUGGAAGAGGGGGUCGCGGCUGAUUAGCUAGUUGGCGGGGUAAUGGCCCACCAAGGCGAAGAUCGGUAGCCGGCCUGAGAGGGCGCACGGCCACACUGGAACUGAAACACGGUCCAGACUCCUACGGGAGGCAGCAGUGGGAAUUUUGCGCAAUGGGGGAAACCCUGACGCAGCAACGCCGCGUGGAGGAUGAAGCCCCUUGGGGUGUAAACUCCUUUCGACCAAGACGAUAAUGACGGUACUGGUGGAAGAAGCACCGGCUAACUCUGCGCCAGCAGCCGC
rnacentral:rRNA from 1 species